rnacentral:rRNA from 1 species
GAUGAACGCUGGCGGCGUGCCUAAUACAUGCAAGUCGAGCGAACAGAUGAGGAGCUUGCUCCUCUGACGUUAGCGGCGGACGGGUGAGUAACACGUGGAUAACCUACUUCUAAGACGGGGAUAACUUCGGGAAACCGGAGCUAAUACCGGAUAAUAUAUUGAACCGCAUGGUUCAAUAGUGAAUGACGGCUUUGCUGUCUCGUAUAGAUGGAUCCGCGCCGCAUUAGCUAGUUGGUAAGGUAACGGCUUACCAAGGCAACGAUGCGUAGCCGACCUGAGAGGAUGAUCGGCCACACUGGAACUGAGACACGGUCCAGACUCCUACGGGAGGCAGCAGUAGGGAAUCUUCCGCAAUGGGCGCAAGCCUGACGCAGCAACGCCGCGUGAGUGAUGAAGGUCUUCGGGUCGUAAAACUCUGUUGUUGGGGAAGAACAACUGUGUAAGUAUCUCUGCCCGUCUUGACGGUACCUAAUCAGAAAGCCCCGGCUAACUACGUG